UUUACUCGUUUAUUUGAACCUUUGCAUCUCCCAUGAAAAUACCUAGUCAUUCCACCGAUGAAACUUGUGGUUACCCCCUGUAUCCUAUUUUUCAUGAUGCUAUCUUUGGUAUGUUCUGGCCACGUUGUGCUUUGCAAUUUUGGAAGCUAGUAGUGAGCUUUGAAAUCCUUUCUUAUUUAAUUUGAACAAGACUGACAUUAAAAUAUCUUAGAGAGACAAACCCCAAAAGAAAUGAAAUGCAAUGACCUUGAGGGUUAAGGAUAAAAAAAUCCAAAACUGGAUGACUUACUGAAAGGAAAGAAAAGGACAAGAG
rnacentral:lncRNA from 1 species